GCACAUCGUGCACGGCUCCCGUGCUCAAUCCAUUUCAACCCCCUUGUGCACCUUAUCGAAGUCAGUAGUCUUUCUCUUUUUGUUUGCUGGUUGUGUGCGGGAACCUCUUUCUGUUCACUUGGCCGGCGAGGAGAAAUAGAGGGUCGAAAGCUUUGACUUUUCUAUUAAACACUUUGUAUGUCUUGUGGAACGUAUUAGCUCCUUUGUGGGGGCGAAAUAAAUACAACUUUCAACAACGGAUCUCUUGGCUCUCGCAUCGAUGAAGAACGCAGCGAAAUGCGAUAAGUAAUGUGAAUUGCAGAAUUCAGUGAAUCAUCGAAUCUUUGAACGCACCUUGCGCCCCUUGGUAUUCCGAGGGGCAUGCCUGUUUGAGUGUCAUGUUAAUCUCAAACCCCUUGUCUUUUUUGUUGACUUGGUCGGUUUGGACUUGGAGGUGUUGCUGGCGUGCGUCGGCUCCUCUUAAUUGCAUUAGCUGGACUUUGGUUCGCAUUUGACGGUGUAAUAGUAAAGUGUUCGCCGGGCGUGCUUGCCUAACGGGUCUGCUUCUAAUCGUCUUCGGACAACUCUGUUCAUUUGACCUUUGACCUCUUAGCACGUAGAACUACACGCUGAACUUAAGACUAUCAAUAAGCGGAGGAAUAGAUACUAACAGGGAUUCACCUAAUAACUGCUAGUCAAGCGAGAUGAGCUCAAAUUUAAAAUC
rnacentral:rRNA from 1 species